AAACCGGUUGAUCCUGCCGGACCUGACCGCUAUCGGGGUGGGGCUAAGCCAUGCGAGUCGCGCGCCCGGGGCGCCGGGCGCGGCGCACGGCUCAGUAACACGUGCCCAACCUGACCUCGGGAGGGGGACAACCCCGGGAAACUGGGGCUGAUCCCCCAUAGGGGAGGGGCGCUGGAAGGCCCCCUCCCCCAAAGGGAUCUCGGGCGAUCUCUCGGGAUCCGCCCGAGGGUGGGGGCACGGCCCAUCAGGUUGUUGGCGGGGUAACGGCCCGCCAAGCCGAAGACGGGUAGGGGCGGUGAGAGCCGUGAGCCCCGAGAUGGGCACUGAGACAAGGGCCCAGGCCCUACGGGGUGCAGCAGGCGCGAAUACUCCGCAAUGCGGGAAACCGCGACGGGGCCACCCCGAGUGCCGGGCGAAGAGCCCGGCUUUUGCCCGGUGUAAGGAGCCGGGCGAAUAAGCGGGGGGUAAGUCUGGUGUCAGCCGCCGCGGUAAUACCAGCCCCGCGAGUGGUCAGGGUGAUUACUGGGCUUAAAGCGCCCGUAGCCGGCCCGGCAAGUCGCUCCUGAAAUCCUCGGGCUCAACCCGGGGGCAGGGGGCGAUACUGCCGGGCUAGGGGGCGGGAGAGGCCGCCGGUACUCCGGGGGUAGGGGCGAAAUCCUAUAAUCCCCGGAGGACCACCAGUGGCGAAAGCGGGCGGCCAGAACGCGCCCGACGGUGAGGGGCGAAAGCCGGGGGAGCAAACCGGGCCCAGGUCGGCGUUGCGUAAGAUUUAAUAUACUGAAGCGUAGCAAAACGCCAUGGAGUGCGACAGACGCUCGGCCAUAGAGUUGCUACCGUUUAUUCUCUCCGAUGGCGGCAUAUAUCGUGGGAAAGAACUUUACUUCACCACCACAGAUACAGCCCUAAUAGAACGCUUCAGACAAGCCGCCGCAAAGGCGUUUAACUACAAGGGCUAUGUCGUGAAGAGAAGUAAUCACUCCUACGUAGUGAAAAUAAAAGGAGAAGGGUACGUGAGGCGUAUAGCAGAAGUUGCACCAGGAAUUUUAUGCAAGCCCAGAUGUGGAGUUACCUUGCCAAGCGACUUAUAUGAAGAUUUAGACCUCGCCAGGUGGUUUAUAAAGGUUCUGGCAUCGUGUGACGGUGGCGUCUCGGUGUCGCUUGGCAGAAAGGGUAAGUACAAGUUCUUGGUAAGAAAGGUAUUCAUCACAGCCAAGAGUGUAGACAUAAGAACACAAGUUAUUAACAUUCUGAGGGAGCUUAAGUUUAAUCCUCACGAUGACAAGGAAAAACAUGUCUACCUCAGCGCAAAGAACGACAUCAUAUGCUACGCCAAGGAGAUUAGGUUUCUUGACGGAGUAAAAAUAACCCGCAACUCCAAAAGAUUCCAUGGACUUGAGAAAAACCAUCUCCUAGAUCUGAUCGUCCAGUCCUACGACGACCCGCGCGUAUUAACCCUCCUUUUUCAAUCCCCCUCAUCUUUACUUCACCAAGCCGACCUGGCCCGGGCUCAAAGGGGAUUAGAUACCCCUGUAGUCCCGGCUGUAAACGAUGCGGGCCAGCUGUCGGCCGGGCUUAGGGCCCGGCCGGUGGCGUAGGGAAACCGUUAAGCCCGCCGCCUGGGGAGUACGGCCGCAAGGCUGAAACUUAAAGGAAUUGGCGGGGGGGCACCACAAGGGGUGAAGCUUGCGGCUUAAUUGGAGUCAACGCCGGAAACCUUACCCGGGGCG
rnacentral:rRNA from 1 species